rnacentral:rRNA from 1 species
UACGUAGGGGGCAAGCGUUGUCCGGAAUCAUUGGACGUAAAGCGCGUGUAGGCGGCUGAGUAAGUCUGCUCUGAAAGCCCGGGGCUCAACCCCGGGAGGCGGGUGGAUACUGCUCAGCUCGAGUCCGGAAGAGGAGUGUGGAAUUCCUGGUGUAGCGGUGAAAUGCGCAGAUAUCAGGAGGAACACCAAUGGCGAAGGCAGCACUCUGGGACGGUACUGACGCUGAGACGCGAAAGCGUGGGGAGCAAACAGG